rnacentral:tRNA from 1 species
UGUGGAUAUGGCUCAGUUAGUAGAGUGUUUGCCUCACAUAUACAAGGCUCUGGGUUCAACCCCCAGCACCACAA